GGUAGCUUGUGCCUGGUGGUAGUCGUAGUGCUGUUCCUAAUGCAGAGAUGGCGAAAAUGCAUUUGAUUUUAUCCACAUCUCUCUGUAUUGUUUAUGGGGUUAGUGUUGCCUUUACACACGACGCUUGGCGUGUAGGAACUUGAUCGCAGUAACGACGUUUGGUUUUGAAGAUCUAGAAGUUAGUUCAACACGUGGUACGGUCGCAUGUAUGCUGCAUCAAUUGAGUCGAUGUCCUGCACGAGGUUAAGAGCGCUGCACCAAAGCCAGGCUAUGCGCGUGAAUUGUCACAACAUAUAUGGCAUCACAGGCCAUAAGCAUGAAUCCGACAAACAUACUUGGAGCCAAUGCUACUUGCUGGUGAGUACUUACUGCGCCUCAUGAUAUUCCAAAGCUUUAUACUUGAUCUAUUUGAUGAUGAAACCCUAACUGAAAGCUGGAAUUACCGUCAGAUUGUUCAGUGUUGAUAAUUCAGGUUCUGAAUGCUGUAUCUAAUCAGCGUUAUAGCUUGAAGCUGUUGGUUGUAUUAAAAAUAAACAAAUAUAUUUUUCACAGGCCAUAAGCAUGAAUCCGACAAACAUACUUGCAGCCAAUGCUACUGGCUGGCCAUAAGCAUGAAUCCGACAAACACUUGCAGCCAAUGCUACUUGCUGGCCAUAAGCAUGAAUCCGACAAACAUACUUGCAGCCAAUGCUACUGCCUGGCCAUAAGCAUGAAUCCGACAAACAUAUUUGGAGCCAAUGCUACUUGUUGGAAAUGCGUCCGUGCAUCCCCUGAUUCGUGGUAUUUAACUCCAUGGGAUAAUUUGGAAUGCUGUGGUUGACCUACAAUAAAUUGAUGGAGGAAAUUUGUAAAUGUGUC
ensembl:lncRNA